AACAAGUUUGGCAGUGGCAGCAGCAGUGCAAGCUUCUCCACACUGCUCUGUCAGCGUGCCUCAGCC
rnacentral:sRNA from 1 species